rfam:Gossypium hirsutum cultivar TM-1 chromosome 15, whole genome shotgun sequence
AAUCCAUGCAUUAGACAUUCUUGAAGUAAUUCUUUAAAUCGUUCCCAAGCUUUAUAUAACAUUUUAUCCUCCGAUUGUCAAAAAGAUGUGAUGUCAUUUCUAGGCUU